rnacentral:misc_RNA from 1 species
UACGGAGGGGGCGAGCGUUGUUCGGAUUUACUGGGCGUAAAGCGACCGUAGGCGGUUUGUUAAGCCAGAUGUGAAAGCCCGGGGCUCAACCCCGGAAUUGCAUUUGGAACUGGCUUACUAGAGUCUUGGAGAGGAUAGUAGAAUUUCCAGUGUAGAGGUGAAAUUCGUAGAUAUUGGAAAGAACACCGAUGGCGAAGGCAGCUAUCUGGACAAGUACUGACGCUGAGGGUCGAAAGCGUGGGGAGCAAACAGG